UGCGUUCUCAAACAUUUUGCAGUAGCAAAUAUUGACGCGUUACCAGACUGAGUGCAUGGCGGUGGUCGUCCUCCUGGGUUUGCACAUAACGUCGCCAUUGCUGCUCUCGCUGGGUUAACAAUUAAGCAAAGUCUCCUGCGGUUCUCCUUCUCCUUUCCGGUGACAGCCGGGAUAGGGUACAGCAGUCCCACAACCCUUGUGAGGAUAAGCGGCUCAGAAGGUGGAUGUUUCUGACACUCUUGAAGAAUAAAGUACCUAAAAGUGUUGCAGGAUUGUCCCGGUGUAUGACACUUGUGGGGGCCUACAUGACCGUGACCGGUUGAGGAAGGGUGGAGUCUCUGUCAGCGGUGAAGGCAGCCCAGCCAUGUGCAUGCCUCAACCUGGGCUUCCUGCGGCAGCUGGAAGAGUUUGAGAACACAGAACAGAAAGAACCCCCUGGAGUCAAACACACUACUCUGCCACGCCAUCAUGGACUCCUGGAAGCAUUCUUCUGGGGGGGACACAUACAGCUGCAUCAUCACGGCUAUCUUGAUGUCGCCUCAAUUGCCCCUUGAGUUUGGAAAAGAGGAAGAACAAGGUUACUAGUUUGGGUGGGUGUCCAGGUUGCUCAAGCACAAGGAAUUGUCAGAUGCAUGGGGGCGUUGUCAUGGUGAAGCAGCCACAAGUUGUCCUCCAAGAUUACUCACCUCUUUUCGAGCAAUAAAUACAGCAAAGAGCAAAAUCUGUUUGUAGACCAGCACGGUUGAUCGUCUGGCUGACAAUGAUGGUGAAAAACUGCAGCUUGCAGUACCAUCUUGGAACUUGUAGGUUUGGAAUAUUCUGUAUGUUUUAGGAAACCAAUCUGAAAGCAUUUCUGACACGCUUUGUGAUAUAUACUUUCUUUUUUAUGUGUGUGUGCGUUGGGGGGGGGGGGUAACUCAGAUGUCCGCUCUUCUAUGGCCUCUCGUAUCGACGAACCAGUAUGGGAUGCAUCCAAUGUGGUACACUGAUGAGGAAGAAGUUGAAAAACUUUUAAUGCAUAGAUCAGUCACUGAAGCUUUAGCUGGAAGAGGCUCUUUAAAAAGUAAUGAAAUAUUACCCUGUUGUCUUCUUUGCACUUAUGAAACACAAUUACAACUUUGGGAAUGCGAUCCUUUCAAAACGUUAGCAAGUAUGGCCCACUUGGGAAAAAAAGAGCAAGUAUGACUACAGAGUAGAAGAGGGAAUCAGAUGUCCUGAUGUUGGUCAGAGGUUUGAAUUUAAGAUUUGGAUUCACUUAACAUUAUGUUUGGCAUUUUUUACACCCCAUCAAUCUCAUGUUUUAACAUUUUCUUGGGCCCAACUGUUACUACAGCACGCAAUGCCAGUCAAGCAUUUAACCAAAGAAACAUGUACAGUAACUGGAUAGACAGUGAGCAGAACAGUGCUCAGAACCAAAAUGUGUACACUUUACUCAAAACAUGCCGUGAAAGUUUUUUUUUUUUGGUAUACCGCUAGCAUCUGAAAAACACGCUGAUGAUGGAGCCCUCUUAUUUAUGUAAUCUUUAUUCAGAUUAUACUGUACUUUAUACUACCUCAACGCAACGUUUUUCCAAAUUCAAAGCAGUCGAAGCAAUUAAAUUGUGGAUAAGAAAAGAUUUUUCUCAGUAGUUCAAGGGAUUUCCUGUCCUUUUUGUCAUUGUAUUUGUUUCUCCAUAAAAAUAUGAUAUUCCUUCAAUCUGUGCCCUUUAUUUCACUUUGUAUUUCAAUGAUAAUGUGUCUGGUUUAUGUCAACAGUGUUGC